AGCGAACGCUGGCGGCAGGCUUAACACAUGCAAGUCGAGCGGGCACUUUCGGGUGUCAGCGGCGGACGGGUGAGUAACGCGUGGGAACGUGCCCUCUGGUUCGGAAUAACUCAGGGAAACUUGAUCUAAUACCGGAUACGCCCUUUUGGGGAAAGGCUUGCUGCCGGAGGAUCGGCCCGCGUCUGAUUAGCUAGUUGGUGAGGUAACGGCUCACCAAGGCGACGAUCAGUAGCUGGUCUGAGAGGAUGAUCAGCCACACUGGGACUGAGACACGGCCCAGACUCCUACGGGAGGCAGCAGUGGGGAAUAUUGGACAAUGGGCGCAAGCCUGAUCCAGCCAUGCCGCGUGAGUGAUGAAGGCGUUAGGGUUGUAAAGCUCUUUUAUCCGGGACGAUAAUGACGGUACCGGAGGAAUAAGCCCCGGCUAACUUCGUG
rnacentral:rRNA from 1 species